UCAAAAAAAAAAAAAAAAAAAGAAAAAGUUUAAGUAACUCACAGGCAGGAAAAAGCAUAUAAAAGCAAAAAACCAGAGAGAACAAAUAGAAAACAAAAAAUAAAAUGGCAGUUAAGUUCUUAUAUAUUAAUAAUUGUAUUCAUAUAAAUGAUCUAAAUACACCAAUUAAAAGAAAUUGGAAGAGUGGAUUAAAAACAUGACUCAAACUGAUUCAACUAUAUAAUGUCUAAAGGAAAUGCAUUUCAAAUAUAACAGUAUGAUCAGGUUGAAACUAAAAGGAUGAAAAAAGAUAUGCCACACAAACAUUAAUCGAAACAAUGCUAUGCUAAUAUGGAUAUAUUAAUCAGAUAAAUUAGACUUCAGAGCAAAGAAGAUUAUCAGAGUCAGAGAGGAACAUUACAUAAUGACAAAAAGGCCAAUCUGCCAAGAAGAUACAGCAGUUCUAAAUGUCUGUGCAUCAAAAUAGACUUGCAAAAUGUGAGGAGCAAAAACUGAUAGAAUGAAGGAGAAAUAGUCAAGUCCAAAAUCAUGUUUGGAGACUUCAGUAUUUUUCUGUCAUCAACUGAUAGAACAACUAGAUAGAGAAUCAACAAUGAUACAGAAUAACUAAAAAAUACCAUUGAGCAUUAAAUAGCUAAGUCGGUGGACUUGGGGCACAAACACUGCACAUUUCAAAGAAAGGACUGGCUCUUGACUGGCUCCUGGGAGAUAACUUCUGAGACUUUAGAAAAUCCUGCCCAAUAAGAGUGUCUUUGUAUACUCGACACUUUGGGCCAUGCCAGAUAGCUUAUGCAACUAACGUGAUUUAUAGGAAACACCUAUUUUUAUUUGCCUGGGGUCUUGGGCCAUGCUGUAUCAGUUUGACCUUUAGGUAACAAACCUUAACUAUGAGUAUAACAGCUUUGCUGAGUUCUGUGAGUCCUAGUGAAUCAUCAGACCUGAGGGUAGUCAUGGGGAACACUGACACAACCACCAACCAACAGGAUCUAAUUGACAUAUGUAGAAGAUUUUAUCAAACAAUAGCAGAAUACAUAUUCUUUUCAAACAAACAUGGAAUAUAUGCCAAGAUAUCCUUGGCAUAAAUAUCCUUGGUAUAACCUGAUCCAUAAUACAAACCUCAACAAAUUUAAGAAAAAUGAAAUCAUGCAGAGUGUGUUCUCUGACCACAAUGAAAUCAAACAAGAAAUCAAGAAUGACAAUAGGAAAAUCUCCAAACUCUUGAAUGUGAAACAACAUACACCUAAAUAAUCCAUGGGUCAAAGAGGAAGUCUCAAGAGAAAUUUUAAAAAGUACAUUGAACUGAAUAAAAAUGAAAUACAACAUAUAAAAAGCUGUGGGACACUGCUAAAGCAGUGCUGAGAGGAAAAUUUAUAGCACUAAAUGCUCAUUAGGAAAUAGGAAAGUCUGAAAUAAAAAUUUAAGCUUCCAUCUCAAGAACCUUGAAAAAGAAAUGAAAAUAAACCCACAACAAGCAAAAGGAAGAAAAUAUAAAGAACAGAAAUCAAUGAAACUGAAAAAUGAAAAAUGGAGAAAAUCAAACAAAAGUCUGGUUUUUAAAAAGAUCAAUAAAAUUUGAGAUACUUCUAACAAGGCUGACCAAAAAAGAAAGAGAGAAGACUAACACAUUACCAAUAUUAGGAAUGAAACAGAUUAUCACUGCAAGCCCUCUCAACAUCAAGAGGAAAACAAGGGAAUAUUGUAACCAAUGCUACACACAUAAAUUUUGAUGACUUAGAUGAAAUGAACCAAUGCCUCAAGAAACACAAACUACCACAGUUCACCCAAAAUCAAUCAUUUGAAUAGCUGCAAGUCUUCAACAAGAGUGGAAGAAAAAAGAAAAAAGUGAAUAACGGCAUGACUAUUAAAGAAGCUGAACCUGUAAUUUUAUUUUUCUGCAUAUGUUUAAUGUAAACAUUUUAUUAUGUUAAAAUAUUCAUAAAGUUUAACUUUUUAACCCUUUUAAAGUAUAUAGAUCUGUAGCAUUAAGUACAUUCACAUUGUUGUGCAAACCUUACCACUGUCUAUCUCCAGAACUUUUUCUAUCUUCCCAAACUGCACUUUGUACCCAUAAAACGAUAACUCUCCAAUGCCUUCCCCAGGGAACCCCCUCAUCCUACUCCCCACCAGGCCCUGAUCACCAUUUUAUUUGUGUCUCUAUGAAGUUGACUACUCUAGGAACCUCAUAUAAAUGGACUCGUAGUAUUUGUCCUCUUGUGACUGGCUUAUUUCACUUAGCCUAAUGUCUUAUAGGUGCAUCCCUGUUGUAACAGGUGUCAGAUUUUCCUUUAUUUUUAAAAUGUGUAAUUUUAAAAUGCCCCAAAAAACAGAUUUCCAGGCCCAGAUGGUUUCACUAGAGAAUUCUACCAAACAUUUAAAGAAGAGUUAACACUGAUUGUACACAAUUUAUUCCAGAAAAUAGAAGGGAGCAACAUUUCCCAAAUCAUUUAAUGAAAUGUAUAGUAUCCUGAUGCCAAAACCAGAAAAAGACAGGACAAAAAAUAAAAACUACAAACCAAUAUCCUCCAUGAAUACAGAUACAAAAAUCCUUAACAAAAUAUUAACAAGUGAAGAAUUCAGAAUAUAUAAAAAGAAUUACAUAAGUAAGGUUUAUCCCAGGAUACAAGGCUGGAUCAAUAUUCCCAUAUCAAUUAAUAUAAUCCACCUUAUUAACAGACUACAGAAUAAAACAGUAUGAUAAAAUCAGUUAAUACUGAAAAAGCAUUUGACAAAAUCCAACACCCAUUCAUGAUAAAGAAAAUUAGUAAUAGAGUGUAUUAUAGGUCCAUUUAUGAUAACAAAAGUUAUGAUAAAAAUAAAGAAUAGAGGAUAUAGUGUGUUUCCUCUGAUAUUCAUAUGUUAAAGUCCUAACCCCCUGUACUUUAGAGUGUGACUAUUUUAGAGAUAGGUUCUUUAAAGAGAUAAUUAAGUUAAAAUGGGGUCAUUAGGGCAGGCCCUAAUCUAAUAUAACUGGUGUCCUUUAUCAGAAAAGGAGAUUAGGACACAAACACACAGAGAAAUCAGACCCAGGCAUGCACAGAGAAAAGACCAAAUGAACACCUUCUCUCUGUGUUCUCUGUGUGGCCAAUUGCAUGCCAAAGAGAGGGGUGUCAGAAGACAUCAGACCUGCUGACACCCUAGUCUCAGACUUCUAGCCUCCAGAACUGUGAGAAAAUAAGUUUGUUGGUUAAGCCACCCAAUCUAAUGAUAUUUUAUUAUAUGUGGCAGCCCUAUCAAACUAGUAUAGAGGGCAAAUUCCUCAACCUAAUAAAGAACGUCUAUAAAAAACUUACAGCUAACAUUUAACUUAAUGAUGAAAGGUUAAAUGCUUUUCCCCUAGAAUUGGGAACAAGGCAAGGAGAUCUGCUGUCACUGCUCUUACUCAACAUAGUCUUGGAAGUUCUAGUCAGGUCAAUAAGGCAAAAAGGAACUAAAAAGCACACACAUCAGGAACGAGGAUAUACACUAUUUCUAUUUGCAGCAAAUCUUAAAAACAAAUCUACAGGGCCGAGCGUGUUGUCUCACACCUGUAAUCCCAGCACUUUGGGAGGCCGAGACAGGCAGAUCACAUGGUCAGGAGUUUGAAACCAGCCUAGCCAACAUAGUGAAACUCCGUCUCUACUAAAAAUACAGAAAAAUUAGCUGGGCAUGGUGGUGGGCGCCUGUAAUCCCAGCUACUGGGGAGGCUGAGGCAGGAGAAUCACUUGAAGCUGGGAGGCAGAGGCUGCAGCGAGCCGAGAUCAUGCCAUCGCACUCCAGCCCGGGAGACAGUGCGAGACUCUGUCUCAAAAAAAGCAAAAAACAAAACAAAACAAAAAAAUCUACAAGAAAACUCUCCUAGAACUGACUUCAACAAGGUGGCAGAAUAAAAGAUAAUCAAUUGUGUAUCUAUAUAAUAGCAAUGAACAUGUGGACACUAAAAUUUAAAAAUACAAUAUCACAACUGCUUAAAAAAUUGAAAACUACAAAAUGCUGAUGAAAUAAAUUAAAGAUCUAAAUAAAUCAAGAGACAUACUGUGUUCAUGGACUGGAAGACUCAACAUAGUAAAGAUGUCAGCUCUGCAAAUUGAUAUGCAUAUUUAAUAUAAUUCCUAUAAUUCCUAAAAUCUCAACAAGAUUUUAAAUUUAGACAAUAUUAUUCUAAACUUUAUAUGGAAAGGCAAAGGAACCUGAAUAGCUAGAGCAAUUUUGAAAAAAAAGAAUGAAGUGGGAGGAAUCAGUCUGUAUGAUUUGAAGACUUAUAUGGCCACAGUAAUCAAGACUGUGUGGUAUUGGUGGAGGGGGAGACACAUCAAUCAAUGGAACAUAACUGAGAUCCCUAAAACAGACCCACACAAAUCUACCCAAAUAAUUUUUGACAAAAGUGCAAAGGCAAUUCAAUGGAGAAAGGAUAGUCUUUUCCACUAAUGGGUCUUAGAACAGUUGGACAUCCACAUGGAAAAAACAGAACCUCACCCUAUGCCUCACACCUUAUACAAAAUGAACUGAAAAUAAACCACAGACUUAAAUGUAAAAUGUAAAACUAUACAGUCUUUUAGAAAAAAAAUAAGAACAAAUCUUUGGGAUCUAUAGGUAGGUAUAGAGUUCUUAGACUUGACACCAAAAACACAAUCCAUAAAACUGAUAAAUUUGACCUCAUUGAAAUUAAAAAUGUUUGCUCAUUGAAAGAGAGGAUGAAAAGUUAUAGAUUGGGAGAAAGAAUUCACAAAUCACAUAUUUAAUAAAGAAUUAGAAUCUCACAACUCAACUGUAAAAACAAUAGCAACUGUCCUUAUUAUCUCUUAUAAAAAAAGAGAAACCAGGCAAAGACAUGAGCAGAAAUUUUACCAGGGAGAAUACAUAUACAUAUGGCAAAUAAGCACAUGGAAGGUAUGUUCAACGUGAUUAGCCAUUAGGGAAAUGCAAAUUAUAAAAAACUUCAUUAAAAAUAGUGACACUACCAAAUUCUGGUGAGGAUGCAAAGAAACUGGAUCACACAUAUAUUGCUGGUGGGAAUGUAAAAAUGGUGGAGCUACUCUGAAAAGCAAUUCAGCAGUUUUGAGAAAAACUAAACAUAAAUUACUACAAAACCUAGCAAUUUCACUCUGGGCAUUUAUUCCGGAGAAGUGAAAACUUGUGUUCCCAUAAAAACCUGCAUUACAAUUGUUCAUAGCAGCUUUAUUCAUGAUUGCCUCAAACUGGAAACAACCCAGAUGUUACUCAACAGAUGAAUGGUUAAACUGUGGUACAUCUAUACCAUGGAAUACUACUCAGCAAUAGAAAGGAAUGAAUUAUUGACACACUGAACAACUUGGAUAAUUAUGCUGAGUUCAAAAAGCCAGUCUCAAAGGUUAUAUAUCUGAUACCAUUUAUAUAACAUUCUUGAAAUGACAAAAACAGAAAUGCAGAACAGAUUAAGUGAUCACCAGAGGUUAAGGACAGGGAGUGAGGAGUGAGGUGGGGCAGGAGGGAAGUAGGUCUGGUUAUAAAAGGGCAACAUAGACAUCCUUCUGAUGAUGGAAAUGUUUUGUAUCUUGACUGUAUUCAUAUCAAGCCUUGGUUUUGAUAUUGUAAUAUAGUUUUGUAAGAUGUUACAAAUGGAGGAGAUUGGUAAAGGAUACUGGGAUCUAUUAUUUUUUACAAAUGUAUGCAUUUUUACAGUUAUCUAGAUACUAAAAGUUUAAUAAAAAAGAAAAAAAAAACAAACCCACAAAUCAUACUACUUAUUUAUUGAACACCUGUUGUGUGGCCAGGCCCUAUUUAAGGUAAUCUCAUGAAUGUUAUUUCUUAUUUAAUUUUCAUGAAUGCCUAAAGAUUAUACCCAUUUCCCAAAUAAUCUUUCAUGAAAUACUAAUUCUUUGUGACAUUAACAGCCUUCCUUGGAGGUACUAUGUAAAAGGAAUUCCCUAGUCAAGUAGGUUUAAGAAAGACAAAAACAAUUUUUUUUUAACUAUAGGAUUUUUAAGGUCUCUAAUAUCUAAUGAAUUUUAUAAAUAUUCAAAACAAGGCCAUCGUCGACAGCUCUCUUUAAUUUUCCCAUGUCUUUAAUUUUGGAACCCUAGUUUUCACAUGAUGCCCAUUAACAACUUGUCUGAAGACCCAGUAUUCCUUAUAAUAUAACAAUAAAUGUUGGGUUAUAGUUUUCUUCCAACAUCUCUACUGAAGUGAGCUUUUAUGUGUUAUUUUGAUUUAGGCUAUAGAUUUACUGUUAUAGGUCUGAAUAUACUUCAGUCAUGGUGCAGAUGAUCCAAACUACUUACCAUGUAACAAUAUAAAUAGAUCG
rnacentral:lncRNA from 10 species